rnacentral:rRNA from 1 species
UACAGAGGUCUCAACCGUUGUUCGGAUUCAUUGGGCGUAAAGGGUGCGUAGGCGGUCGACGCAAGUCGGAUGUGAAAUCUUAGGGCUCAACCCUGAAACUGCAUUCGAUACUGCGUGGCUCGAGUACUGGAGAGGAGACUGGAAUUUACGGUGUAGCAGUGAAAUGCGUAGAUAUCGUAAGGAAGACCAGUGGCGAAGGCGAGUCUCUGGACAGUUACUGACGCUGAGGCACGAAGGCCAGGGGAGCAAACGGG